rnacentral:rRNA from 1 species
CCUACGGGCGGCAGCAGUGAGGAAUAUUGGUCAAUGGGCGGGAGCCUGAACCAGCCAAGUCGCGUGAAGGAAGAAGGUACUUAGUAUUGUAAACUUCUUUUGUCGAGGAAUAAAGGCGGAGACGUGUCUCCGGUUGAGUGUACUCGAUGAAAAAGCAUCGGCUAACUCCGUGCCAGCAGCCGCGGUAAUACGGGGGAUGCGAGCGUUAUCCGGAUUUAUUGGGUUUAAGGGGUGCGCAGGCGGGAGAUAAAGUCAGCGGUAAAGUGUCGGGGCUCAACCCCGGCCGGCCGUUGAAACUGGUAUUCUAGAGUUGGAGAGAGGUAUGCGGAAUUCGUGGUGUAGCGGUGAAAUGCAUAGAUAUCACGAAGAACUCCGAUGGCGAAGGCAGCAUACCGGCUCCAUACUGACGCUGAGGCACGAAAGCGUGGGGAUCGAACAGGAUUAGAUACCCCAGUAGUC